UCACUCCAACUCUUUCUCUGUAGGAGGUGUUGGAAUUGGCCUUCUCCAUCCUGUAUGAUCCUGAUGAGACACUGAAUUUCAUCGCUCCUAAUAAGUAUGAGUACUGCAUCUGGAUCGAUGGCCUCAGCGCCCUUCUGGGGAAGGAUAUGUCCAGCGAGCUAACCAAGAGCGACUUGGACACACUGCUGAGCAUGGAGAUGAAGCUGCGGCUUCUGGACUUGGAGAACAUUCAGAUCCCUGAGGCACCACCUCCAGUCCCCAAGGAGCCCAGCAGCUACGACUUCGUCUAUCACUAUGGCUGAGCGGGAAGGGACUAGGGCCCAGGAGAGACACUGGCAGCCCGUGCCUUGCCCUCCAUUUGUACAAACUACUCCUCAAACUCAGUGGGACCUGGAGCUUCUCUGUCCCAACCAUUAGGAGUCAUGAAGUCAGGGCAUGCUGCCCUCCUCAGCACCACAGAGCCUGGGUCGGGUUGGAGGAGUGAACUCAAGAUGUUCUUGCCUCCCACGCUGAGUCUGCAUCUGCAUCUGGUACUGGACCUACCGACAGCCAUCCCCUUUCCUUUCAAGCCUCCUCUCUGGUUGGCUGGAGAACCCACAUGGGCUGGAGCUGGUCCAUGAAAGGCUGCCCGUGGGGGCGAGAGGCUUGGGGAUGGGGAGAGCCUUGGAGUGACUGUCUUCAGG
rnacentral:lncRNA from 1 species